AAGUCUCAACUUUAGGAAUUCAGUGGUUAAAAAGUUGUAAGCGUGUAAAGUUUGACAUUUUUAGCGGAUUUGUUACGUUACUGUGACGCCAUAUUGACUUCUUGUCCAAUGAACGGUGUCGCUAGCUGUAGGCAGAUUCACGUGGGUGUCGACUACUUUGGCGGGUAAAUUUGAUACUGUCUGAGUUAGUUAGGUGUAUAUUUUUUUAAAGAGAGAGAGAGAGAAUUCAAUUUUAUGAAUAAUUUAAAUACAACUAGUGAUGGGACUCGUACCCAGCGAAUAGAGUCAAAUUGGCGGCCGGCGAAGGACUGGAUGAGGGGGAGGGGUCGUUUUCACGAUGAGGAAUUUGCCGAUCGCUUAUGCGAAUAUCUGUGGCGACGGUUUUGCCGUCACAACAACAUAGACGUCAUGGGAUCAAUGAUGGAAGCGAUUCGGAAACAAUAUGUUUUUAAUUAAGAUUCUACGCAUCAAAAACUAUAGAUUCAAAAAAAAAAAGGUCCAAAAUUUUGGGUCCGGUAAAGUAAAGUUUACCCGAUCUCUUAUUGAGAGUCAAAGUAACUGUAAUAUUUAAAUUAAAAAUAUUAAUUAAGAAGGCGUAAUGUUAAAGGCGAAGUUUAUUAAAAUGCAUAAGCAUAAGUAAGAUUUCACGGUAAAAAUAAAUUAAAUUGGCAACCAGUCACUAAAACAAAAAAUUAUAAAACUAUAAACAGUAGUUACGUAUGUAACAAACAAUUUUUUUGAAAUAAUAAAAUAAUGACCUAUUCAUUUCUUCCUAAACAUAUCUGUUCUGCAUCAGAAAUAUUUUAAAUUAUUUAUUAUAUUCAACUCUUUGUGCUCCAUAAUUAUGUUUAUAUUGUACUCUGGUAGGUCCACGCCUAUAUCAAAGAAAUUAAAGAAAAAUAGAAUUGUUGUCAAGGCCGACUGGACAUUGGACCUAUUAAAAUAAAAUAGAACCUCAAACGGUUAAAACUCAUUUAUUGUCAUAGGAGUUAACUCUGAAAUAUAUCAAGAAAUUCAUUCACAAAUGGGUAGUAAUAGAUAGCUAUACAUUUAGCAUCCUGAAAAAGAUGUAAUUAUCAUUAGAACAUAAUUUUUAUCAUUUGAAAUUUACUAUUGAAAAUUAGAAAAUAAUUUCAUAUCAUCUAAUUUUUAAAAUGUUAUUAGAUAGAUGUAUUAUUUCUUACCUGUUUUGUAUUUAUGUUAAGUCCUGUUUUUUUUAGUGUACACUUGUAAGGUAAAAUGCUAUAGUGAUUACUAAUAUUUAAAAGACUCUUAAAGUCAUCAUAGCUGAUAUAUUUUAUCACAUUAUCUGGUAUAUU